GACGAACGCUGGCGGCGUGCUUAACACAUGCAAGUCGAACGGAAAGGCCCUGCUUCUGUGGGGUGCUCGAGUGGCGAACGGGUGAGUCACACGUGAGUAACCUGCCCUUGACUCUGGGAUCACUUCAGGAAACUGGGGCUAAUACCGGAUAUGAGCUCCUGCUGCAUGGUGGGGGUUGGAAAGUUUCGGCGGUUGGGGAUGGACUCGCGGCUUAUCAGCUUGUUGGUGGGGUAGUGGCUUACCAAGGCUUUGACGGGUAGCCGGCCUGAGAGGGUGACCGGCGACAUGGGGACUGAGAUACGGCCCAGACUCCGACGGGAGGCAGCAGUGGGGAAUAGUGCACAAAGGGCGGAAGCCUGAUGCAGCAACGCCGCGUGCGGGAUGGCGGCCUUCUGGUUGUAAACCGCUUUCGCCUGUGACGAAGCGUGAGUGACGGUAGUGGGUGAAGAAGCACCGGCUAACUACGUG
rnacentral:rRNA from 1 species